GACGUAGGGCGCGAGCGUUGUCCGGGUUUAUUGGGCGUAAAGAGCUCGUAGGCGGCUUGUUGCGUCGGCUGUGAAAACCCGCGGCUUAACCGUGGGCUUGCAGCCGAUACGGGCAGGCUAGAGUUCGGUAGGGGAGACUGGAAUUCCUGGUGUAGCGGUGAAAUGCGCAGAUAUCAGGAGGAACACCGGUGGCGAAGGCGGGUCUCUGGGCCGAUACUGACGCUGAGGAGCGAAAGCGUGGGGAGCGAACAGG
rnacentral:rRNA from 1 species